UUACGGCCACAUCACGUUGAAACAAUAGCUCUCGUACGACCACCGAAGUUAAACAACGUCGAUCCUGGUGAGUACUUAGAUGGGUGACCACUUGGGAAUACAAGGUGCUA